GACUCCUACGGGAGGCAGCAGUGGGGAAUUCUCCGCAAUGGGCGAAAGCCUGACCGGAGCAAUCUCGCGUGAGGGAUGACUGCCUAUGGGUUGCAAAACCUCUUUUUUCAAGGGAAGGAAUAAAUGACGUGUACCUGAAGCAAUAAGCAUCGGCUAACUCCGUGCCAGCAGCCGCGGUAAGACGGAGGAUGCAAGUGUUAUCCGGAAUCACUGGGCGUAAAGCGUCUGUAGGUGGUUUAAUAAGUCAACUGUUAAAAUCUUGAAGCUCAACUUCAAAAUCGCAGUCGAAACUAUUAGACUAGAGUAUAGUAAGGGUAAAGGGAAUUUCCAGUUGGAGCGGUUGAAAUGCGUAGAGAUU
rnacentral:rRNA from 1 species